UAGCAUCUGUUUGCAUUGAACAAAUUUUGGUCGUGAUUUUUGUAUAUAUUUUAUUAGGCAUUUAGACAUUUAAAAAACACUGGAACAACAGAAAGUUAGAAUACAUUAGACUGUCAAUUAGGAUAUUUAGACAUUCAUCGUGCUUACAGGGGUAUGAAACGCGAGGAAAAUUGGCAUUUGGCGGCUCGGGAUUUAAAAAUUUUCAAGACGACGUAAAUUGAUUGCUGGUUGCCUUUAUGCGACGCUAGAACGGAUAAUUCAGUUUUGGAUUUUUUGGCUCAAAGAAAAUCCAUUUCUCGCUUGGUCUUUCCCAAUUAAAACCUUAUAGCUAUCGUUAUUGAGUCGACUUGACCCUUAGCAAAGUUCAGCCAAACGCUAUUUGACGUCAUAUCCGAUACCCGAAUGUGUUUAUGAUGUAACAAUCGAUAUUCAGAGCAGAAAACAUAAUUAGGAAGACACCCCAGGAAAGCGUGAAAAUAAUUGGGUAUCAGUCAAUACGUUACACGAAGACUUUGUAAAAAUAGUUAUUGGACGUCGUGGCCAAGGACAGCCGCAAAAAAGUAUGGGAGAUCCGUGCCGUCAAAAUGAAUUUAUUUUCAGGAUUUUACUUUUACUAACAAGCUUCAGCGAAGCAUCUAGACAAACAACUAAGGACCACCAUGGAAAUAGAAUAACUCAACAUAUCGAACAAGUUUUUCGUCACCACUCAUAUGAGUUAAGCAUACGGCCUUCUCACGAUGGUAAAUGGGAAUAUUAUUUGUUUAUUUCUAUUUUUUUUAAUCAGACGUGUAAAAGUACUGUAGGGCAAGAUGAAUACGUUUUAGCUCAUUUUCUUAUAUUUUCUAAUCUUGUUUUUACCAAUUUACAUUAAUUUUGAUCAAUGAUUCGGUUAUAUAAUUCCGUAAAUAUUCUUCAAUGCCAAAUGAGAUGGUAAAAAGAAUGUAAACACGUUUUAUUUUACCCCAACAAAAUGUCUCAUAUUAUUCCCAACAGUUGUCUCAUAUUACCCCAACAUUUGUCUUAUAUUACCCCAACAUUUGCCUCAUAUUACCCCAACACUUGUCUCAUAUUACCCCUAAGAGUUGUCUUAUAUUACCCGAACA